GGAAAGUUGGCAUCCUAUAGUUGCCCAUAUUAUUAAAAAGAACAAGAAGGCUUCUUUGCUAUAUAGUACAUUUUAUAAUACAGAUAUCUCUCUGUCAUCCAGAUUCAAAACUACAAUGGAAUUCUUACUUCAUCUUUCAGAAUGCCCAUGUCUCAGGAUUAAGAUCAUUAAAGUCCCAUAACUCUGGUUCUAAUUCUAAUUCACUCGUUGAUCCGUUGAUAAACCUGUUCAGUCUCUCAGUCACUUUUGCAGCUCCAAAACUGAAAUCAGAUUCCCUCAUCUGCACAAAAAGAGACAGGGAAAAAAAUUUUCAAAUCAAUUAUUGAGUUCCACAUUAAAAACAAAUUGGAAUCACCAUAGGAAUUAGUAUUUAUGAUUUUAUAUAUAGUCAAAAGUUAAUUACCUGUGCAUGAACUACAUGAUAAAUUGAAUUGCCAGAAACUGAAAAACUAGCACUAGCGAUUUCUACACCUUCAUCGUGCAGAAUGCGAAUGAUCUCAUAGAAAAUGAACUGAUUAUCUACCCCACUUAUCAAAACUAUCUGCAGAGAAAAACCCAUUUCUCGGAUUUCUAAUUGAGGUGCUCUUGAAGUUGACGUAGAUUCAAAAGAACGGGUGCAAUUAGAAAACGAUCUUUUUCUGCCUGAUAAGCUUUCUUUCUUUUCCUUGUAUUUCUUCAACUUUUCCUUUACACUCUUUAUGUAGUUUAUAGCUUCAUCUACCUGAUCAGGCAGUGGCAAUGCUUCCUUGGAACUUUGUUUAGGAAGGAGAGAAUUAAGGUUGGAGAAGAGGGUCUUCAUUUGAUUUCUUCUAUUUUGCUCUAUGACCUUUCUUUCUGUCUUUGUUGAAGAAGUAGAACGAAGCAUAGCAGUUCUUGAAGAAGAUUGACCCAUCUCCAUUGGUAUCCUUCUUGAGUUAAGAAGGACUUAUCCCAUGAGAAAACCUAGAUGUGAAGAUUGUUA
rnacentral:misc_RNA from 1 species